UGGGGAAUAUUGGACAAUGGGCGAAAGCCUGAUCCAGCCAUGCCGCGUGUGUGAAGAAGGUCUUCGGAUUGUAAAGCACUUUAAGUUGGGAGGAAGGGCAGUUACCUAAUACGUGAUUGUUUUGACGUUACCGACAGAAUAAGCACCGGCUAACUCUGUGCCAGCAGCCGCGGUAAUACAGAGGGUGCAAGCGUUAAUCGGAAUUACUGGGCGUAAAGCGCGCGUAGGUGGUUAGUUAAGUUGGAUGUGAAAUCCCCGGGCUCAACCUGGGAACUGCAUUCAAAACUGACUGACUAGAGUAUGGUAGAGGGUGGUGGAAUUUCCUGUGUAGCGGUGAAAUGCGUAGAUAUAGGAAGGAACACUAGUGGCGAAGGCGACCACCUGGACUGAUACUGACACUGAGGUGCGAAAGCGUGGGGAGCAAACAGGAUUAGAUACCCCCGUAGUCCCUGAGCGGGCUGGCAAGGCGCAU
rnacentral:rRNA from 1 species